rnacentral:lncRNA from 1 species
AAGUGACAAGUUAAUACUGAGCAAGGUGGGAGGCAUCCUUUUAGGAGACUAAAGAAGUAAAUCCAAGCGUUUACAGCAUGAGCAGUAAUACAGAGCUGUGGGAUGCCAUUUCAGCAGAUGUCUUAACAUUUGAGCUGAAGUUCAAAAUAGUUUUGAACCAGGGAUUUUUGGCAAUUAUACAAAUGGCCAAUCUGAAGAAGAUGUAAGCAGAGGUUUGGCUGCUCUACCAAGACAAGCAGGGCAUGAGAAAGAAUGCUAGGAAAAGACAGCAGCAAACUAAAGUCAGACAAGCAGGAAAAGAAGGAAGUUCAACUCGAUACAUUUAAACUAUUCAAGGUGUCCAGAAAACCUUGCAGAUGGAGAGCCCUGAACCUGAAGGGUAUUUAUUUACUACUAGGUGACAGUCCUGCACGCAAUAGGCAACAAUCAAAUAACACCAACAGCUGGGACUAGCUGGCAGAGCCUUUGUGAGGAAGAUUCACCCACUCAGGUAACGCUCAUUCCAAGACCCGACUGCAUAAAACAAGAUUAGCCACAGGGGCAGAACUGAAUCAAGACUGAAUCCUUGGGCUCUGCUACAAAGCAUCUAAUAGUUUCACCAUCCAGUGAGAUUUUUCUCCUUAACCAAGGGUAGGGACAGCAAAUAACAAGACAGGAUAAGAUUGUAACCUGCUGUCAGUGAUGAAAAAUAAGAAGGCAAUUUGUUUGAGAAGACAACUUGAGCCCCUUGUUUUUCUUUGCAAAAUGUCAUCAAACUAAAAUACAGUACCAACAAACAUUAUUUGGU